GACGAACGCUGGCGGCGUGCUUAACACAUGCAAGUCGUACGGUAAGGCCCUUUCGGGGGUACACGAGUGGCGAACGGGUGAGUAACACGUGAGUAACCUGCCCACAACUUUGGGAUAACGCUAGGAAACUGGUGCUAAUACUGGAUAUGUGCUCCUGCUGCAUGGUGGGGGUUGGAAAGCUCCGGCGGUUGUGGAUGGACUCGCGGCCUAUCAGCUUGUUGGUGGGGUAGUGGCCUACCAAGGCGGCGACGGGUAGCCGGCCUGAGAGGGUGACCGGCCACAUUGGGACUGAGAGACGGCCCAGACUCCUACGGGAGGCAGCGGUGGGGAAUAUUGCACAAUGGGCGCAAGCCUGAUGCAGCAACGCCGCGUGCGGGAUGACGGCCUUCGGGUUGUAAACCGCUUUCAGCAGGGACGAAGCUUUUUGUGACGGUACCUGCAGAAGAAGCACCGGCUAACUACGUG
rnacentral:rRNA from 1 species